AGUACGCGUUAACCCUGGCUGUAUUAAUUUGUCAAAACUUCUAAGCAUUAGUUCUCAGCCUGCAAUAUUAAUACUAUUAGGGAAACAACUGGAUUAAGUCUUUCUAACCAAUAAAACAAUCACUAAAAAAAUGCUAACCGCUGUUAAACCUGUGAGCCUGCAGAGGAGAAAAUCUUCACCUACUGUCAGCAGCCAAACUUACCUGGUAACGUUAUAAUGUUCCACUAAUCUACAGGUGGAGGAAGAACUUUGCGUCUAGUUCACCGUAAACGGCGUGUAUAAACGCCAGAACGGACUCGGUCCAUUUGUGGUUUGAAAUGACCGAUACCAAUGAUUGAUCACAUUGCUCAGCUGCACACGGCCGGUGCACUGCAGAGCCAAGCCCAUAACGGACAACCCAGGUGAACUAGAUGGUAUACAGUCUACGGCACUAACAAGCUUUGAUCCACCCUCCAGCAGAACUGAACUGAAUCACCACCUGAACCUCACACGCCCAAUCCUGCUCCUCAGGAUCUUCCACAGAAUCUGAUUAUGGAGGCGUUACAUUGGAUUUAUGUCUACAGAACCGGGUCGAGAGCUUUCUGUGGAAUACAGGAUGUAAAAUAAGGUGAUGCAUUGCUGUACUGUUCA